rfam:Brassica napus, WGS project CCCW01000000 data, contig: 22496
GGAAUAUAAGAACCCGUCUCUUAAUUUUUAACUAAAAAAACUAAUAACCGGUUUUUAAAUAAGAGUUUUAAGAGCCGGUUCUUAACUUUUUUAGUUAAAAGUUAAGAGACGGGUUCUUAUAUUCC